rnacentral:rRNA from 1 species
UACGGAGGGUGCUAGCGUUGUUCGGAAUUACUGGGCGGAAAGGGCGCGUAGGCGGCCGUUUGCGUCGGAUGUGAAAGCCCGGGGCUCAACCUCGGAACGGCAUUCGAUACGGGACGGCUGGAGACCGGGAGAGGAGAGUGGAAUAGCCAGUGUAGAGGUGAAAUUCGUAGAUAUUGGCUGGAACACCGGUGGCGAAAGCGGCUCUCUGGCCCGGUCCUGACGCUGAGGCGCGAAAGCGUGGGGAGCAAACAGG